rnacentral:rRNA from 1 species
UCUUGGUUUGAUCUGCCAGUGUGCAUACGCUCUUUUUAAAGAUUAAGCCAUGCACCGUGAUAGUUCAUACAUUUAAAAUGUGAGACUGCGGAAGGCUCAGUAAAUCAGUUAUAAUCUGCUCGAUUGUAUAGGUUAUUGGAUAACCGUGGGAAAUCUAGAGCUAAUACAUGUAAAUAGGGGGAUAAUUUCGGUUAUUCUCUGGCAUUUAUUAGACAAUUACCAAUCGUGGGGCAACCCAUGUGGUGAAUCUAGAUAACUUGGCAGAUCGUAUGGCCUAGUGCCGGCGACAUUUCGAUUGAGUUUCUGCCCUAUCAACUAUUGUCGGUAGUGUAUUGGACUACCGAGGUUUUUACGGGUGACGGGGGAUCAGGGUUCGAUUCCGGAGAGGGAGCCUGAGAAACGGCUACCACAUCCAAGGAAGGCAGCAGGCGCGCAAAUUACCCAAUCCAGACAAUGGGAGGUGGUGACGAAAAGUACCAGAUGACGGCCAAAGGCUGUCAAUUUGGAAUGGAAUCAAUUUAAGCAAUUGAUUGAGGAACGACUAGAGGGCAAGUCUGGUGCCAGCAGCCGCGGUAAUUCCAGCUCUAGUAGCGUAUCCCAAAGUUGCUGCGCUUAAAACGCUCGUAGUUGGAUCACAAACUAUAUGCGAGUUGGCGUGGUGCUGUGCCAAAUGUAAGGAUUCAACGGAAUGUCCUCAUUUCGCGGAUGAUUUAUGUGGUGCAGUUUCAUUGCCGUAAGCUGGUGUGUAGUAAUUGCACGUGAGGAUAGACAUUCGCCUUGAAUGAGUAGAUGUUUGUGUCUCACGGAGUGUGCCUUGAAUAAAUCAAAGUGCUUAAAGCAGGCUAUACGCUUGAAUGUUAAAGCAUGGAACGAACAAUCGUGUAGGGUGCAUGAUGAUUUAUGGGUGACUGGCCCAGCCAGCAUUCAUCAUUGUGUGACACCGACCACCAGUAACGGAUGUUGGUUCCGUAUUGGGGUAUUGAUUAAGAGGAGCGGUUGGGGGCAUUGGUAUUUGGCAGCGAGAGGUGAAAUUCUUGGACCUGCCAAGGACUAACAAAUGCGAAGGCAUCUGUCCAGACCGUAUCCAUUAAUCAAGAACGAUAGUGAGAGGUUCGAAGACGAUCAGAUACCGUCCUAGUUCUCACUGUAAACCAUGCCGACCCGGGAUCAGUUUGGAGCUUUAUUCCAUGCUCGGAGUUGGUCCCCCUGGGAAACCUAAAGUUUUUCGGUUGCGGGGGGAGUAUGGUCGCAAGGCUGAAACUUAAAGGAAUUGACGGAAGGGCACCACCAGGGGUGGAGCCUGCGGCUUAAUUUGACUCAACACGGGAAAACUUACCUGGUCCGAACAUCCGUAGGAUACACAGACUAAUAGAUCUUUGUUGAUGGGGUGAAAAGUGGUGCAUGGCCGUUCUUAGUUCGUGGAGUG